AUUGAACGCUGGCGGCAUGCCUUACACAAGCAAGUCGAACGGUAACAGGUCUUCGGAUGCUGACGAGUGGCGAACGGGUGAGUAAUACAUCGGAACGUGCCCGAGAGUGGGGGAUAACGAGGCGAAAGCUUUGCUAAUACCGCAUACGAUCUCAGGAUGAAAGCAGGGGACCGCAAGGCCUUGCGCUCACGGAGCGGCCGAUGGCAGAUUAGGUAGUUGGUGGGAUAAAAGCUUACCAAGCCGACGAUCUGUAGCUGGUCUGAGAGGACGACCAGCCACACUGGGACUGGGACACGGCCCAGACUACUACGGGAGGCAGCAGUGGGGAAUUUUGGACAAUGGGCGCAAGCCUGAUCCAGCCAUGCCGCGUGCAGGAUGAAGGCCUUCGGGUUGUAAACUGCUUUUGUACGGAACGAAAAGACUCUGGUUAAUACCUGGGGUCCAUGACGGUACCGUAAGAAUAAGCACCGGCUAACUACGUGCCAGCCGCCGCGGUAACAC
rnacentral:rRNA from 1 species